rnacentral:rRNA from 1 species
UACGAAGGGGGCUAGCGUUGUUCGGAAUUACUGGGCGUAAAGCGCGUGUAGGCGGGUCUUUAAGUCAGGGGUGAAAUGCCAAGGCUCAACCUUGGAACUGCCUUUGAUACUGGAGAUCUUGAGUCCGGGAGAGGUGAGUGGAACUGCGAGUGUAGAGGUGAAAUUCGUAGAUAUUCGCAAGAACACCAGUGGCGAAGGCGGCUCACUGGCCCGGAACUGACGCUGAGACGCGAAAGCGUGGGAAGCAAACAGG